GACGAACGCUGGCGGCGUGCCUAAUACAUGCAAGUCGAACGCAGGGGGGACGGGUGAGUAACACGUGGGUAACCUCCCCUCAGAGGGGAUAAAACUUGGAAAAAGGUGCUAAACCUGAUACUGAUGGAUGGACCCGCGGUGCAUAAGCUAGUUGGUGGGGUAACGGCUAACCAAGGCCACGAUGCAUAGCGGACCGGAGAGGGUGAUCGGCACAACUGAGACUGAGACACGGCCCAGACUCCUACGGGAGGCAGCAGUAGGGAAUCUUCGGCAAUGGACGAAAGUCUGACCGAGCAACGCCGCGUGUGUGAAGAAGGUUUUCGGGUCGUAAAACUCUGUUGUUAGAGAAGCGGUAUCUAACCAGAAAGCCACGGCUAACUACGUGCCAGCAGCCGCGGUAAUUC
rnacentral:rRNA from 1 species